GAUGAGCGCUGGCGGCGUGCCUAAUACAUGCAAGUCGAGCGAACGGACGAUACGCUUGUUUCUCUGUUGUUUGCGGCGCACGGGUGUGUAACACGUGUAUAACCUACCUAUCAUACUGAUAAAAUUUCGUGAAUCCGGAUCUAAUACCGGAGGAUAUUUUGAACCGCAGGGUUCAAUAGUAAAAUACGGUCUUUCUGUCUCUUCUCGAUGGAUCCCCGCUGCAUUAGAUAGUUGGUAGGUUAACGGCUUACCAAGGCAACGAGGCAUAGCCGACCUACGAGGGUGAUCGGCGGCACUGGAACUGAGACAGGGUCCAGAGUCCUAAGGGAGGCAGCAGUAGCGAAUCUUCCGCAAUGGGGGGAAACAUGACAGAGCAGCGCCGCGUGAGUGGUGACAGUCUUCGGAUCGUAAAACUCUGUUAUUGGGGAAAAACAUAUGUGUAAGUAACUGUGCAGAUAGUGACGGUACCUAAUCAGAAAGCCCCGGCUAACUACGUG
rnacentral:rRNA from 1 species